ACGGAGGGUGCGAGCGUUAAUCGGAAUCACUGGGCGUAAAGCGCACGUAGGCGGUGUCGUAAGUCGGAUGUGAAAGCCCUCGGCUCAACCGGGGAACUGCAUUCGAUACUGCGAUGCUUGAGUGCCGGAGAGGGUGGCGGAAUUCCAGGUGUAGGAGUGAGACCCGUUGAUAACUGGAGGACAUCCAGUGGCGAAGGCGACCACCUGGACGGCAACUGACGCUGAGAUGCGAAAGCGUGGGGAUCAAACAG
rnacentral:rRNA from 1 species